rnacentral:lncRNA from 1 species
CGGAGUUGCGAAUUGGUCAGUGACACGUGUUGAUUGCUCUGAAGGAAAAUGACAUCCUAAAGUUUAUAGGGCUGUUGACACAAGCUUUGAACUGCUUAAAAGUAUAGCGGUGAGCUGAGCAUGCGUUGGAUGUAAAUUUUUAUUGCAUGUAUGAGCAUGCGUUGGAUGUAAAUUUUUAUUGCAUGUAUGAGCAUGGGUUGGAUGUAAAUUUUUAUUGCAUGUAUGAGCAUGGGUUGGAUGUAUGAGUUGGAUACCUUGAUCGUCUUCGGGGCCUGGAACGUAGGCGCCGGGCCCUGGAACCGGUCUCCG